GGAUGAGUAAGGCCAUUCUUGUUGCCUUUUGUUUAAAAUGCAAUCAUAAUGACAUAAUCUACAUCUUAAUUAUACCUACGUCUCAAAUAAGACUUAACCCUUAAUCUAAUGGAGGAAUAACACUUCAUUAUAACCAUACCGCAAGAUCAAAAGUUUUUUGGUUUCACCACCCGUACGCGUUUCUUUUAACAUUUUUAAAUAAAGAUUUAGGAAACUUUUAAUAUCAUACAAAGCUACCAAAACCUGGUUUGUAAAAAAUCCCAAUUUUCAUUCCUAAAAACAUAACGGGUGUAUAAAUUACAUCAAUAAACCGUAGAAAAAACAAAAUAUAUAUAAAUAAAAAGAACUAAGUCCCGUCUCCAUCCGUCUUGUUGUUAUCACAAGUCACCCUAUAACUUUGCACCUGAUCCUAGAAUACAUGACAACAAUAAAACACAUAUUAGACAACUUUAUUUGGUGGGUUAUAAGAGAGUUCAAACAAAACAACCUCAUAACCAUUCUCUUUAAACGUACUAUUAUCGCGCUCGAAAUUUGGCUCAGUCACAUUAUUUGGCAUAGGACGCUUAUCUUUACUAUGGAGUGACCAUUCAUAACGAGUCCUCAUAAAUACAACCCUAAUUGUGCGCAGUCACAUCACGUGACCCAAGACACUGACCUUUUACUAAAGAACAAAUCAUCCGAACAAGACCCAUAGUAGGUCCCCGUAGGAACCCAAGACAUGCGGUAAAUUACUUUCACUUUAUCACAUUGAGUAAUAUGAUAAUCACAUAAGCAUAAUUUGCUAUAAGUCAUGUACUUAAGUUAUUAAGUACUAAGCCAUGNNNNNNNNNNNNNNNNNNNNNNNNNNNNACUUGGGGAGUCUAGGUAGCAUAUGUUCUCUAAUCAUAUUCUCUUUGCAAUCCAAAUCUUGCUUCAUACUUAAGCAUUCAUUUCCAAAUCCUUUAAUCAUUACAUAUGCUACUUUUCACAUCUUAGCAACAUACUUUUAAAAUUUGCAUAAUACUCUACUAAUUACAUUUAGUAUAAUUUAGUCUCAUUAUAACACUAAACUAAUCAUAUAGUUUAGAUUUCCAUGUAUCACAUACCCUUUAUGUGUCAAAAUUUUCACAUAUAGCAACUUAUUUUCGUUUGACCAUUUCACUUUAUUUCGUUAUAUGCUUCAAUUCUUAUAACUAUCUAAUGACCAUAUUAACCUAGUCCUUCUAAUAUCAUUUAGAAUCCAUUUUAAUACCUACAUAUACUUUAUAAAAGCAAAUGCUCAUUUUGGAAACUUUUGCCAUUUUGUCCCUUUUUUACAUUUUAUUUCAAAUAUCAUGCAUUAUUGUGUUUACUUUAUGUUAGGGAGUAACAAUUGAUGAUGACACGUCACGACACGAAAUAAAAUUGGGAUGAAACUAAAAUUUGAAUUCGUAUUCAUGUCAAGGGUAAAAAGCACGACAUCGUGUUGUAUAGUGUUCGUGUUCGAAAUAUGUUUUCUAAAUUUUCAGCAUGAAUUAGAAUAUGUUUUGCUUACUAGCUGAAAAUGUAGUUGUUAUCUAAAAAACUAGAUGUGAAAUAAAAAGCUAGUUGAUAGUUGAAAAGUUAGCUGAUAAAAAAUAUAAUUUGGUAAAACUAACUGAAAAAUAUAAAAUGACUUAAAAUGGCAUUUAAAUAUAUUUGUUUCUAUAAUUUAUUAAGGAGUAUAUUUGAAGUUUUUUUAAAAACUCCUAAGAACUUAGUCUAAAUAGCUUUUUAAAAAGCUAACUUAUAAAAUAUAUUUUGGUUUGCCAAACAUAAUAAUUUAAAAAGUUCGAAAAAUAAGCUAAAAUAUCAGCUAGCUGUAACACGCCAAUAACAAUCAUAAUAUCUUUAUGGUCUUAACAUUUUUCAAAACAAUAGAUAUCAACUUAUAUUUUAUUGUCCUUUUGUCAUUUCAACAAUUUUAUUUCUUUUUACAAUUAAGUAAAUUUCUAAUUUUCUCUGACCAAAACUCGCAAGAUUUUGUUUAAAACUUAUAUCUCAUAUUUUAUUAACUUAUUCUAAGUUAAUUCUAUUCAAAAUCUAAAAUUGUCAAAUAAUCAACAAAAUGUGACUGAUCUUUUUGAUCGCACAAAAAGUUAGCAUGCAACUUUAAUCUAUCACAACUUUUUGGAAUGGCCUCUAACGAGUUGAAGCAGCUUGCUGCAAGUUCCUCACAUUCUCUGCUUCAUUGCUUCAUUUUUGGCUCAAGAAUGAAUUGAUUUGAAUAUGUACAACUCAUCUUAUGCAGCUCUAAAUACUUUAAAUUUCCAAACUUAGAAUCAUUUCAACAUUCAAGCUUUGUGCUGAUAUUAUACUCAACUUUGACCAAACAUAUCUCAAUCAUACAAAGUGGGAUGAGUUGGAUUUUUAUUUAUUUGUGUUCUUUGUUGUAGGAUUAUCUACUGAUUUACUGUUUUUGGAGUUUCAUUCCAAUGGCUUAAACAAUUGCAUAUAUUCUAAACUUGUCUGUGUCAUAUAAUAUUUGUUGAAGUUCUAAUAACUCUUUCAUGACCAUUAAAAGUUCUAACGAUUAGUUUUCACUUUUUUUUUUUAGUUUUCACUUUUUUUUAUUUUUCACUUUUUUUUAAUACAAGUACAACGUAUUUUUAGUUAGUUUUCACUUUUUUUUUAGAAAUUUAGUUUUAAAAAAAUUAGGUUCAGAGAAUGACUAGAAACUCGCAACAACUAGUUUUUCAUGUGUUUAUAAAAGUCAGGAGACGAAUAAGAAAAAAAAAUGGUGAUGAGAGUAGCUUCAGGGAAUGAUGCAAUGAACAGAAUAACAUAACUUUAUCAUGUACGUUUGUGUAUGCAAAGAGAUAUAUCAUGUAUAAUGUAUGAUUGAAUGUAGGUUGAUGGAACAAUGUUUACAAAAUAAACAAAGUUCCAUAACAUCAAACUUAAUUCAGAAGAUCAAAAAUCAUCAAAUCUGAAUAACAAGCUCGAAACCAUUGUUGUAUGCCCCUGUCUGAACCGAACGAAAUUGAAUUAAACAUCCGAUUAUUCGAGGGCAAUUUCAAAAAUAAAAACAAAGCAUAGACAUUUUUAAUCGAAAAUUAUCCGAGACUGCUUGGAAGAACAUUGAUGGUAACACUUAUGAUCGAUCCAAGUUGCCCCGGUGGUUUAAAUAUUCAAAUUAAAAAGUUAAUCGAUGAAGAUAGAACCUUUUAAUCUGUAAAUAAACGUAUUUGAUAUAAGCCUCUUAACUAAGCUCGAUAUGAAAUCUAAAUGUAUUCAUACGGCUACUCUAUAGAGGCGUUGAUUCGAAAAAUAAAUACCAGCAAACUGUUAAACGUUACGAACUUACGAUUCACAUGAUUGAGAUGCAUUGAAUUGAAAUCGGAGCACAUUCAAUCCAAAUUACGAAGCAAACGAGCUCUGAUUUCAUCUUCGUAAUUCGAUGUGAUGCUAACAGAGGAUAACUACGAUGACUGAAGUAAAUCAAGAUUGAAAGAAAGUUCGUAGAUUUACAGAGACAUCCGUUGCUGAAAUAGAUGAAGAACUUAGGUUGAGCUUCAAUGGAGAUGGGGUUUUGAGGAGGAGGCUAGCGAUUUUAGGGUUACUUUGCAACAGCGAUUUUUAUUUUCUGGAUUCUUGAAGCCCAAAGUAAAG
rnacentral:lncRNA from 1 species